UUUAUAGGUUUUAAUUACUCUUCAUUCCGCCUGAUCAGCUUGGCGUUCAUCACAGGCCUGUGAAUAAAACCCUGGUCAAAAGCUCUGUCACAUAGCGCUGGCAAGACGUUUAAUCAAAGUGAGCGGCCCCGCGCGCCGCGCGGCCCGGUCCUGUACGUAAUUUCCAGCCAGCUGAUAAAGCCAGCUGAAUAAUGCGGCGGCCCUUUGGAGACACCAUUUACAGAAAUGACUUUAUUGACGGCUUAACGUCGGUAAUUCAUUUUACCUUUCAUGUAGUAGAGCUCGGAUUUGUUACAGUAAUGGGAUGAUAAAUGCACCCGCGGCCCACGAGCUCCGGCUGGAUUAGGCGAAGCUCCUCUGCAGCGCACUGGCUUGUCCCCCCACUCCACCCCCCAGAUCCAGCCCCGGACGGAUGCUCCUUUAGACUUGUCGCCCCGAGCUCCACGACCCCCACCCAGGCUCCACGCCCUCCUCUCCCUCCUAAAACUGAACCUACUGUUGGGAACUAUAUGUGCCUGUGCUGACGUCCUUGGCGUGAGGUGUGUGCAGGCUGAGUGAGCAAAUAUUGGCUGAGACACUUGUGUGAGGGGGUCCAGAGAACUCCGAGCCCAGGGCUGGCAUGUGGGUGAGGAACUACAGCAGGGGCAGGGUGAGAGCCACUCAUGGGGAAACCCAGUCUGCAAAAGCAUUGCUUAUGUGUUGGUGUAUAACCGUGCAGGAGACAGGAGACCCUCAAAUGCCUUGGACCCAAGUCAGCCCCACUGAUGCCCACUAAGAAGUGUGUUUGCUGAGCGUUCACUGUGUGUGACAUUUCAGAAGGGGAUAGACCUCCUGCCAUUGAGGGGUUUCUGAAGACUUCUUGGAUUUUGUGAGAGCAGAGACAAUCUGAGGGUUCCCUCCAGUUCCCACCUUAAAAGGACGAGGCUGUCUGGCUCUUCUCCCACCGACCCGAGAGGAGGAAGAAAUCCGAGAACCCGUUCCCAACGCCGGGCUUCAGGCCAGCGCCUUCCCGUCUCCCUCCCGACAGGCCCUCGGUGAAAUCACAGCGGCUCCUCCCUUAAGCCCUCCGGAGCUGCAGUGUGGGGACCCUCUUCCCAGGCAAGGUGCUGGAUAAACUCAGAUGUCCAUUCGAGACCGGUGCUGCAGGGGUCACUGACUGGGAAACUUGAAAAAGUUUUGUUUGGGAGGUGAAGACGCCGGAAAGGAAAGCCUCAGAAACUAAAGGGUACGACCAGAAGAAUGGCCAGGUCUCCUGAGUUUCCUCCACCCCGUCCCAUCUCCUUCCUAACCGGGAUCAUACUUCAGUCAAAGGAGUCACUUCACGGGUCGUAGCCUUCCUGGGCCUGCUCCAGUAGAGGUGGGGGUGGGGGUGUUUGUAUGUAACCCUCAGAGUAAAAGACUUGGUUUGAGUGCACGUGUGUGAGAGUGUGUACCUUGGGGUGCUUGGUUUACGCUUGUGGGCGGUGCCCAUCGGUUGGUGUUUACAUGGGCCUGAGGUUGGGUUCGUGUGUCUACGCUUGUCGCUUCUGCGCGGUUGUGUGCGUUUUGGGGAGGGGGUAGCGGGUCUCUGUAACCGAGAGCCCUGGAAGCCUGUGAAGUCGCAAGGACCCAAACUAGCUGCUAGAGGCCUAAUUCUUUCUUUCCUUCUCCCAUGACUGUCUUUGAAAGGUGCAAAGAGGAUGCUAAAACCAAGAUUUAAACAGCCAUUGGCUUUUUGGUUUUUAACUCAGACUCACCUCAACAACUGUGGCCUUUAUUGUGGGGAGGGCUGGGCAACAUGUUCCAAGGUCAAGAGCAGAAGAGACCUUCCGGACCCGGCUAAGCCAAAGGCCUUGCCCACAGACUCAGAGAGGGGAGAACUUAGGUCACCUCCACCGAGAAGGCCGCCUGCCUCAGGGCUCUCCUGGUUAGCAGCCAGGGGAGCCGUGGACGGUCUUCGGGUCUAAGUCCCAGGAGAGUGCAGGGAGCGGUGGUCUCCUGAGAAUUGUUGGAAAAACACUCUCUUCCCUAACCCAGAAGCUAUCUCUAAUUGAUAACCACGUGAGAAGGAAAAUCAAGUUUCCUCCACCGGAGUCUCGCCCGGGAAACAGACCACUCCCGAGGGGGUCUGCACGCCCAGCAGUAGACGGCCAACAGAAAACACACUCAACGACACCUUUGGAGGUUCCUUCUCCCAUAAUGUCUGCCAGGGUGAGGACCACAGUGCGGAGGAAGCCGGGAGCCCUAGCGAACCGACUUCCAAAUAAUGGUUUCUGGCGCCAUCGUGUGUCCAUCUUGUGAUACUACAUCAACAGCCGGCAACGUGCAGGUGGUUCAAGAGCUACAGGUUUCUUGGAGUUGAGAAUUUUAGACCUCCCAGAAAAGGGGCUUUCUCAAGUUCACCAACCCCUAUGUCCCCUCCACCUCCUUUCAUCUCUGCCAUAUGCUGACACACAGAAGGGGUGUGUGUGUGUGUGUGUGUGUGUGUGUGUGUGUGUGUGUGUGUGUGUGUGUGUGUGUAUGUUCUUGCAUCUAAAUUUAUAGAGUAGAGCUGGUUGACUAUGGUUUAUAAAGAGGGUGACAUUAUUCACAGACAUAACCAUUGUCAUUUCUUGAGGCCAGUUCUUUGUAUUUGUUGGUCUGUGUUGUGAGACACAGUCUCUCUACAUAACCCUGGCUGUCUUGGAACUCACUCUGUAGACCAGACUGGCCUCAAACUCACAGACAUUCACUUGCCUCUGCCUCCCAAGUGCUAGGAUUAAAGGUGUUCACCCUUAUGCCUAGCUUUUGCCUGCAUUUUAAAGUUUAUUCUUUACAACGGUCCCACAAAUUAUGCAUUAUUAUGACGAUUUUGAAAUGCUUAUUUGAUACACAAAACAUGUCAACUAUGUGUCCAUCUACAAAUGAACAAGUUUAACAACAUAAUAAUGAGUAGCUAGAGAGGACUCAGCUGUUGAGAGCACAUAUUGGGGCCAAGAACUAGAGUCGAGAUAGCCCAGAGACCUAGGGCAAAACCAAAUACUACUGAUCUAAAAAUAAUAGUAACAGUGUAGCAAUAAAAUGACUCCUAAUGAUAUUCUGCUAUACUCAGAUCAGUGCCUUGUCCAGUCAUCAUCAGAGAAGCUUUCUCCCGCAGCAGAUGGGAACAGAUACAGAGACCCCCAGGCAGACAUUAUGCAGAGAGACCUUGGAACACACAGCUCUAAAUGGAUGUCUCCAUCAAAUUCCUCCCCUCAGGGCUCAGGAAAUUCUGCAGAAAAGGAGGCAGAAAGAGUGGAGGAGCCAAGGGGACUGAGGACAUCAAAAGAAGGUUCUUUAAAACAACUGAGCAAGGCUCAUAUGAACUCAGAGACUGAAGUAGCAUGCACAGGGCGUGCAUGGGUCUGCACCAGGUCCUCUGCACAUAUAUUUAGUUUUCAGUCUAGUGCUUUUGUGGGAUCCUGAAUGUGUAAAUGAGUGGGUCUCUGAUUCUUCUGCCUGCUCCUGGGGACCUUUUAUUUUUCCGUUGGUUUGUCUUCGAUAUGAUGAUUUUCGUUUUAUCUUAUCAUAUUUUAUUUUGUUAUGUUUUGUUGUUAUCUCCUAGAACCCUGUUCUUUUCUAGUGUGAGACAAAAGGAGUGGAUCCAGAUGGGAGAGGAGGUGGUGAGGAACUGGGCUUAAACAAACAAACAAACAAACAAAUAAAUAAAAAACACAUAUUGCAUUUGCAGGAUCCACUGCCCUCUUCUGGCCUCUAUGGGCACUGCACCAAUGUGCGUACAUAAUUAAAAAUAAAAAUAAAUCUUUAAAAAUCAUAACAACCAGCUGUUAGAGGCAAAGGAUAAAAAGUCCAAGGUCAUCUUGGUCGCUACAUAGGAAGUUCCAGGCCAGCCAGGGCUGCACAGUGAGAUGCUGUCUCAGAAGGGGUGAGGAAAGGAAGGAGCCAACUAACACCCCCUCUUUCAGAGACAGGCAACUGUGAUCUUCAGUUGUGAUCUUCCUUUAGUCACGCUGCUGGAAAAGUGACAGGACAGAGUUUCGAACCCCAGGCUGCUGGCAGGUAGGUCUGGGGAGAUGGCUCAGAAGUUAAGAGUACCUGCUGUUCUCCCAGGUUUGGUUCCCAGCACUCACAUUAGGCAACUCACAGUGCCUGUAACUCCAGUUCCAGGGGACCCAAGGUCCUCUUCUGGACCCAACAUGCACCCGCACUCAUAUGCACUAUAUACUCUCACACGUAUUAAAAACAAGCCCUCUAGCAACUGAGCUGUAGCCCCCACCCUCCGCCGGGGUUUUCUAGAGGAACACAACCAAGAGAAUAUAUAUAACCACCACAGAAAGGAUAUUACCUUUGCUAUUUCUCCUAAACAAGAUCGCUGAGGGGUUCAAAGUAGAUACCAUGGGCCAGCAAGAUGACUCAGUGGGCAAAGGCAUUUGCUGCUAAGGCUGGAGACCUGCAUACUCUCUCUCUUGUGAUAUUGUGUUCCCUAAUAUAUCAUGCACCCUAAUAAAUUUAUCUGGGGUCAGAGAACAGAACAGCCACUAGACAGACACAGAGGCCAGAAAACGGUGGCACUCACACUUUAAUCCUAUCACUUAGGAGGCAAAGAUAAGAUCCAUCUGGAUCUCUGUGAGUUCAAGGCCAGCCUGGUCUACAGAGCAUGAUCCAGGACAGGCACCAAAACUACACAGAGAAACCCUGUCUCAAAAAACCAUAAAAAAAAAAAUACUGGAUGAGGGAACUUAAGAGAGGUGGAAGGAAGGUUCAUGUUGGCUCACAGUUAGUUACGGGGUACAGUCCGCCGUGGUGGGGAAGGCACGGGGCUGGCAGGAGAAAGAGGGAAACAACCCACCCUCAGCAGCCCAAGCCUCCGACCCUGAGACUGGCAGGUGACAAUUAGGUGCCUGGGAGGCUCCAGGGCCCUGGAGGCAGGGGUUGGGAAAUCAGAUGCCAUGAGCAGAUAAGAAAGGGUUAUAAUUAGCACAUUGAACAUGAAACACGUGACUGCACAGAUUGUCAUUUUCCCAGCUCUGGCAAAACUGUCAAACAAGCUCAUACGGAGGCCCGGUGCAUUCUCUGUCACACCCAUGUCCUUGUAGUCAAAGCAGCCGAUAAAAACUUGUGCCCAGCUGUCUGCUAAGUCUGAAUUCAAGAACCUGGACUGGCUAGACACUUUGUAUGCACGUGUGUAGGUGUGCAUACAUGUGUGUGCAUGAAUGUGGAGACCAAAUGUUCACUUUGUGCAUUUCUCUUCAGGCUCUGUCCACCUUGUUUGGAGAGUGGGAUCUUUCACUAGCUUUGAGUUCACUAAGUAGCUAAAAUGCAUGGUCAGCAGGUCCAGAGAUCUAACCCCUGGACAGAUCUGCCUCCCCAGCAUGGGGAUUACAAGGCUUACCGUCAUGUUCAGCCUUUUAUAUGGGUGUCAGAUCUUCAUGCUUAUGUGACAGGCACUGAGCCAUCUCUGGGUAUUUCUUGAAUUUAAGGAAAUCAUUUAAUUGAGGUCUAACUUACAUAUAUCAAAGUGUGCUUUAUGCUCUGUCCAGUUUCCCAAGCAAUACCUGGUUAGCUCCACUUAGACCCGGACAGUCAACAUUGCAACCCCAGGAGGCUUCCCCUUUCCUCAUUUUCAUGGAUCCUCACUAUAGUUGGUGCAAUUUAGAUUUCCAUCACCCAAACUAGCUUUGUCUGUGUCCGAAGUUCCAGUGAGUAUCACGAUAUGUAUGACACAUAGCCUUGUGUGUUGAGUGACACUGCAUUAUGGAUUUGAGAACCAACUAGGAUGGUGCACACUGCCAAGGUGGGCUUUCCUCCAUUCUAGUGGAACUGAAAGUGUGUGCACACAUUGUAGAGCAUUUUACAGCUUGGUUCCUGAUUGAGACCAUAACCAAUAAGGCUGCUGUGAAUGUCCGUGAAUGUUCAUUUGGUGCACAUGCAUGGCUCUCUGUGAGGUGGAGUGCCUGGGUUAUGAUAGGAAUGAAGUUUUCCUUCUUUCCUUCCUCUCCUUUUCCCCUCCUCUUCUCCUAUAAAUAGCUUAGUUGACUAUAACAGACUUAUGGCCAAACCCUCCAGCUUAGCAGUGUAUUGUAAGCUGUGAUAAAUAUAUUGAGUGCAUUGCCACUGCUGUUAUCAAGAGGGGAAUUAUUCAUGACCCUGGUGUUCCUUCCUCAUCCCUGGCAAUCAACAUCUCCAACCAGAAGCCCCUGGCCGCCACUCAUCUACUUUCUGUCUCUAUAGUUUCUUCUCCUCUAGAAGUUUGAGCAAAUGGUGUUUCCUACGCUCUAGCAUUUUGCACCCUAUUUCUCUCCUUAAGGGGCUUUAUCUUGAGAGUCCUUCAUGCUAAAGUAUUUCAGUAGCUUGCCUCUCUCCCUCGCUUUCUCCCCCACCCCCAUCCUUCCUUCCUUCCUUCCCUCCCUUGUUUCCUAUGUUUUCUGAGGCAGAGUCUCAUGUAGCCCAGGAUGGCCUUGGACCUACAGUAUGUCAGAGAAUGACCAUGGUUUUCUAACCCUCCUGCUUCUACUCUUGAGUGUUGAGAUUACAGGUGUGCAUCACCACACUUGGUCUAUACAGUGCUGGGGAUAGAACCCAGGGCUUUGACCAUGCUAGGUAUUUUGGUUAGGAUUUCCAUUGCUGUGAUAAAACACCAUGACCAAAAGCAACUUGGGGAAGAAAGGGUUUAUUUCAUCUUACAGCUUAGUUCAUCACCCAGGGGAGUCAGGGCAAGAACCUGGAGGCAGGAGCUGAUGCCGAGGCCAUGAAGGAGUGAUGCUCACUGACUUGCUCCAUAUGGCUUGCUCAAUCUGCUUUCUUAGAGCACCCAGGGCCACCGGUCUAGGGAUGGCACCACCCACAAUGAAAUGGUUCCUCUCACACCAAACAUCAAUCAAGGAAAUAUAUCACAGGCUUGCCCUUAAGCCAAUCUGGUGGGGGCAUCUUCUAAACUGAGAUCCCCUCUUCCCAAAUUGUAGUCAGAAGUUUUCUUGUGUCUCACCCAUCCUGCAGCUGCUCGGACCCAAGUAAACACACAAGAGGCUUAUAUUACUCACAAACUGUAUGGCCUAAUGGCUCAGGCUUCUCGCUAGCUAGCUUUUAUAACUUAACCCACUUCUAUUAAUCUAUGUUUUGCCACGUGUUCUGUGGUUUUACUGGUCUGCUGGCAUCUUGCUUCUCCUUCAGGGCAGCUGGUGUCUCUCUAGACUCUGCCUUUUUCUUUUCUGUCUCUCUCCUUGGAUUUCCUGCCUACCUCUAAGCUGCCUUGCCAUAGGCCAAAGCAGCUUAUUUAUUAACCAAUCAGAGCAACACAUAUUCACAGCAUACAUAAAGACAUCCCACAGCACCAAAUGACUCUAGCUUGUGUAAAGUUGACAUAAAACUAGCCCACACACUACUCAAGCAUUCUACCAACUGAGCUACAUCCUCAGCCCCUGUCUUUUCAUUUUCUUAAUAGCAUCUUUGGAAGAAAACCAUGUUUAGAGUAAUUGUAUUUCUACACUCACAUAGCAUUUUCGAAGGUCCAGUGUUCAUCAUCACUCCCCACACGCCCCCCAGUACCCUGCCUUCAUUUUUCUCAUCCCAUUUAAUCUUCCUGCUCCGUUAUUCCUCUCUCCUCCUCCACACAACCCGUGUUCUAGUGUCCUUCCUUAAAACCCCUCCCCACCCCCUCUUACUAAUCUCCUGCCUUCUCUGGGCACUCCAACUCAAACAUGUAUCUAAGGAUUCAAAGAGAGGACACACAGAGCAGCAUUUGUCUUUCUGGGUCUGGGUGUCCUCAUUCAGAAUGUUUAUUUCCAGAUCCAUCCAUUGACCUGUGAAUUUAAUAAUUUCUGUUUUUCUUUACAGCUGAGUAGUAUUCCACUGUGUAUACGUACCACAUUCUCAUCCAGCCAUCCACGGAGGGACAUUUAGGCUGUUUCUAUUUCCUGGUUAUUAUGACUAAUGAAGCAAAGAACGUGGAUAAGCAAGUAUCUCUGUAGUACACUGUAGAGUCCUUAGGGAAUGUGCCCAGGAGUGGUAUAAAUAGAUUGUAAGGUAGGUCUGUCUCUAGCUUUUUGAGGAACCUCCGUAUUGAUUUCCAUAGUAGCUGUACCAGUUUGAGCUCCCAUCAAUAGUGGAUAAGACUCUCCUUUUCCCAUGCCUACGCCAACAUUUAUCAUCAUUUGUUUUGUUUUGUUGAGACAGGAUCUCACAGCAUAGACUAGGCUGUCCUCAAACUCAGAGAUCUGCCUGCCUCUGCCUCCAGAGUGCUGGGAUUAAAGGUGGGCACCACCAGUGCCUGGCUUAUUUGUUUAUCUUAUAGGCUAUUAAAUGAAUAGCCAGUGGCAGGUGUGGGUUAUCUCUUUCCCAGUUGUUGGUCAGUAGGAACCCAUAAUCUGCCCCCUAACAUUACAGGCUAUUGCCAUUGCUAUGGGUUAUCCUCCAGAACUUGACAGUAAGAUCCUAUUUCUGAAGACACCACAUACAUGAAGAAAUCAAGAUGGUACUGAUCUGGAAGCUUCAUGCCUACCAGGUAGUUUUCAUAAGUGCUGCAAGGUUCUACACAGGAUAAUUAUCACCCAGCUGUGAACCCUGCGAGCUACAGUAACAAAUGGCCUGGUAAGAUAUGCCCACUAGGAGAUGGUGGCACAAAUGUUACGGGAGUAACCAAUUACUUUGUGAUUGUCUUUAAAGACUGCUCCACAAGACAGAACUCAGGCCUGGCUCCAUUGAAUGGGCCAAUAGUCUGUGGUUGGCUAGGUCACAGGCCCUAGGGGAGAAGCUGAUACUAUUAUUCUUCCAAAUAGGUGCAGCAUUGAACUGCUCCAUGCAUUUUUAUUUUUAUAUCCAUACAUCAGUACCAUUUCUCAAUUCUCAUCAGCGAUGCUUCUUUUGACCAUAGCUGGUGAUCAAUACCGGAGACCCACAACUGAUGAACGAACAGAGAAGAAGAAACCGUGGAGUGCUAGCUCUGAAUGGAACAGCUGUAUCAUAGCCCUCUUCCCAAUAAGCCGGGACCAUCACAGAGUGGAUGGAAAGACUGUUAGUGGGAUAUCAUCAGUGAAGCAGUGUUUGCAGGAUGUGACGACACAUGAACUGGAAGCUGCAUGCAUGAAUUUACAGCAGUUGUGACUGUGUGCACAAGACCAGCAUAGGAUCAAGCCACCCAGAAUCCCAGCAGGGGUGAAGGGGGUCUCAAGCAGUACCCCCCCACACAGUUGGGCAUUGGUGACUCAUGGUUGCUGAGGGAGGGAGAAUCGGUUCUCUUCAGGGACUUGGCAGAAGAGGUUACCCAUGCCCCAGUAGAUGGUACAUGGAGUUGGGGGAGGGUAGAGGAGAGGCUACCCAUGCCCCAGUAGAUGGUACAUGGAGUUGGUGGGGGGGGUAGAGGAGAGGAAAUGGGAGCGGAUUGGACCCAAAUACAUAUGCAUGUACAAAUUCUCAAACAAUGUAAAAAAAACUCAAAAAAAAAUCUUUGUUCUUGGUGCUAAGUUCAAAUCCAGGGACUCAUGCAUGCUAAGCAAAUGUUCUACCCCUGAUCUAUAGCUCUACCGAGUUCAAUUUAUCCUUUUAUUUUAUGGUCCGUGUAUUCCCGCAUUUUAUUCAAGAAAUUCUUUACUAACUCAAGGCUACCAUUUCUUACCCCACCCCAUAUUUCCUUGCAUCAUUUCAAAACUACCCGCUAGUGUAGCCAUUCCUAUGAUCCACAUCUAGUUACAUCUUUAGAUGAUGGUAAGAAAGUCCUGAGGCUUAGGAAGACUCAUUUCCAGUUGUUUCAGUACAUUUGGUGAGGAGAUCAUCUUUCCCCCAUAACAUUACUUUAAUGAACUUGUCGACAUUUCAUGUGUACGAGUGGUUAGGUAGAAGACUCACUAGGUUAGGGGUCUUACUGUGAAAGUAUGGAGACCUGAGUUCAAAUCCCCAGUUCCUGGUUAAAAACCUGGGCAUGACUUCCAGCACCUCUAAGCCCGCUGCUGUGGGGAGCAGAGAUAAGAGAAUUGCUGGGGCUGCCAACCUAGCUUCAGGGUCAGUGAGAGACCCUGUCUCAAGGGAAUGAGACAGGGAGUGAUGAGGC